AUGUCGAGCCUCCGCAACUCUCGUCGGAAGACCGACGUCGUCGGCGACUGCAUUGACAAGCUCCACGAGAAGCGCCGCGCAGUGCGCGAGGAGGGCAUGGAGGCGCUGGAGGGCUUCGUCCCCGUCGACGAGCUCGACUACCGCUACUUCACCAUCUUCGAUCGCUGCUGCGCCUCCCUCCGCAAGGGCGCCUGCAGGGAGGCCACGCUCGCCUACCGCGCCAUCGGCCUCCUCGCGCUCACCGUAGGCGCCGCCACUGCCGAUGGCGUCGAUUGCUCCAAGGACAUCCUGGAGAAAGCGCUCCCCGUCCUCGAGGAGACGCUGCAUGCACCAUCGUCCGGCGUGACGACCAUGGUGGCCUCUCUCGAUUGCCUCGCUGCCGUAACCCUCACCGGCACUCGCCGCCCGGAGGACGCGGCCCCGUCCGUGGAGGCCGUGUGGGGCGCGAUCAGGCGUGCCGAAGAUGAGACGAAACCGAGCCCUGAGGUCCUGGCGGCCGCCGUGCGCGCGUUCGCCUUGCUCCUCACCACCGUCGGUGACUUGAGGUCGUACCCCUGCACCGUCAAAGAGGCCAUCAUCCCAUUCCAUGACCUCGCCGAGCUCCUCGAGUGCGAACACCCUGACAUACGGAUUGCCGCCGGCGAGGCGCUGGCCGUGUGCGCCGAGCUUAACCUGACACAACACGCCUCGCCCGAAGACAUCCAAGUGAUCGAGAUGAUACUGUCCGACCUCGUCGCCGAUGCCAGCGGCGGCCAGAACCUCACGGAAGAGCAGGUUGAGUUCUUCCAGCAGAUCGUCGACAUCAUGAGCCAAGUCGGUUGCCCGGAGAUGGAGGAGUCGAUGCCAUCGUCGUACACGAGCGGGCGCAGCAUGCUCAGGGUGUCUACAUGGGCGAGGCUGGUCCAGCUCAAUUUCCUGAAGCGGUUCCUCAACAAGGGCUUCCGUAAGCACCUCCAGGACAACCUGCUCUUCCGGGAACAGGUGGACUCCAGCGACGCCGUAGGCGAGGCCGACGAACAGCCGGUCGGGAAGGGCAGGCGGCGCGGGGGUGGGAGGGAGAAACGGUGGAGCUCGGCCAUGAGGAGGGAUCGCGACAUCGCAUGGGAGAGCAAGAAUGGUUUCUCCCUGUAUGAUUAG
rnacentral:rRNA from 1 species